UACGUAGGGGGCAAGCGUUGUCCGGAAUCAUUGGGCGUAAAGCGCGCGUAGGUGGCCUCGUAAGUCCGCUGUGAAAGUCACAGGCUCAACCUGUGAAUGCCGCUGGAAACUGUCUGGCUAGAGUCCGGAAGGGGCGAGUGGAAUUCCUGGUGUAGCGGUGAAAUGCGCAGAUAUCAGGAGGAACACCAAUGGCGAAGGCAGCUCGCUGGAACGGUACUGACGCUGAGGCGCGAAAGCGUGGGGAGCGAACAGG
rnacentral:rRNA from 1 species